CUUAUGUGUGUCAUUAAUCACUUUAUUGUGAUGCUUUAUCAAAAUAGUAGUUCCAUGAACUGGGUGGAUAAAAUAAUUUUAAUAUAUUUAACUUACUCUGGUGUCUUUCCCCAGUAUUUGGUUUCUGCUGUUCUCUCUAACUGAACCUCCUGAUCAUUUGGGAUGAAACUUAGGGAAAUUUAAGAAACAAAACCUGGUAACAAAGGUUGGUCUGGGUUUCUCUGUUUUGCUGGGGUCUGGGUUGGGAGGAGGAGAAAGUUUCAUUAGGUGGGGUGUGUACCAGUCUGUGAAAGGGGUUGUGCAUUGUCCCUGAUGAUACAUAAGGACUGUUAUUCUGUCACUCCCGUGGUGAAUGUGUACUGUGUACUGAUUGAGGGGGCACUAAUAAGGUCCAAGUGUUACCUGUGGGCUAGAAGAGAAUUUCUGAAGCCUCAAAAAUGGAUGUUGUGUGUAAGGCUCCGGGUAAGUUUCCAUGUACCUCCUAGUGCCAGGUACAAGCCUCUUCUUCAUCCUGCCAGCUUCAAAAACAUUGGCACCUCAGGGAGAAGGGGUGUGUGCUUCCAGGUUGGAUUUCAGCUGAGGACACAGCAUCUCAUCUGCUCACAGAGGGGCUUUGCUGGGUCCUGGCUCUACGUACAGAUAUUAUGUGUACAUUCUGGUUUGGGAUGAGGCAUGUGCCCUUGGUUCAUGCACAGGUGGUGUGCCUCAAAGUUAAACACUUUUUAUCAUGAAAUACAGGUAAUUGGAUGGCUUCAGCACUGAGCAGACAGCUGUGUAUUUAAAUGUGACCUUCUACCCAGUCAGUCUCAUAACCUGCAUUUUGAAUAUGGUAUUUAGGUAAAUGCUGUGCUGAGCCUGAGGAAUUGUUAAAACUGACACCACAACGGUAUGCUAAUGCAAUUAGAUGACUUGCAGUGUUGAGAUUUGGCCUUUGUUUGGGCUCAGUUGCAGUUUAACCAGAUGCAAAAAUAUGUAGACAGUAACUUGUACACUGCUGAAACAAGCCUAGCAGGGCAAAGGUGAGAUCCACGUGUCAAAGGUGAUGCUACAGACAGCUGCCACAAGAUCUGCCAGCGACACUUCGUAUUUCCACUUGAGAGAGGGCUGGGAGGAGGCAUCAAAGCAGUGAGUACCAUCUGGACGUGUCCAUGAGAUGUUGUUUGGGGUGUGGGGGGAUUUACUAUUAGUAGAAGGCUGUUGACUGUGUGUUGAGGUUAUCUUGACACAGGAGGAGAGGCUCCAAACACCUGAUCUGUACCGUGUUCAUGCAGCCACAGUGAAUCACUGCUACUUUGCCCUUCUGCUGCUUGGAGGUGCUACAUAGGUGCCAAGUCUCAUUCAGUAAAUGAUGCAAGGAUUUGGAAAGCAGAGUAGUGAGUAGAGACUGUGUCCUGCCAGUAAUUGCUGGAAGCGGAGGAGAAGGGAGCUGUAGGAUAUUGGCACAUGGAGGAGCGCAGAAAUAUUCCUACUCUGGCUGACAGCUUUUAAUAAAGAUAUUUUUGUUGUAAUUGAAAAUUGUCUCAUGAUCACAUUUC